rnacentral:rRNA from 1 species
GACAGAGGGUGCAAACGUUGUUCGGAAUUACUGGGCAUAAAGAGCACGUAGGUGGUUCGCUAAGUUACGUGUGAAAUCCCCCGGCUCAACCGGGGAAUUGCGCGUGAUACUGGCGGACUCGAGGCGGGUAGGGGUGAGCGGAACUCCAGGUUGAGCGGUGAAAUGCGUAGAUAUCUGGAGGAACACCGGUGGCGAAAGCGGCUCACUGGACCAGAUCUGACACUGAGGUGCGAAAGCUAGGGUAGCAAACGGG